AGGCAAAGAUGAAAAUUCAGCAAGAAACAGAAGCAUAGGUCUAAACUUCUGCAUGACACGCCCGAUUCACUGUACUAUAACCGAACAGCUUCUUGUUUGCUCUGGGGAAGAGGGCAUCGCUGGCUAGGCAGCAUUUAUUGCCCAUCCCUAAUUGCCCAGAGGACAGUUAAGAGUCAACCACAUUGCUGUGAAUCUGGAGUCACAUGUACACCAGACCAGGUGGCAGAGGACACAUGGG